CAGGGGCACUGGGAAGGACUGUCCCCCUUGGGCUGGCAGCCCCAGAGCUCCUGAGGAGCCAACCAGGUGCUGGAUCAUCUCUGCUGUGCCUGA